UUGCUGACAAGUCAUUUAAGCACCUGGAUCCAUUUGUUCCAGAAGGUGAAACUUUUCAAUUACAUGGGCCAACAAAUCCUCUCUCUUCUGUCCUCCAAUGGAUGGCAACAUGCUCGGAGUUCCCUCAACUUGGCAUCACCAAGUACAGCCCUUAAAAUUCCCUCAACUGGAGAAGCUGACUCUUCAGAAAUGCUCUUUUUGGGAGGUGUCUCUUGAGUAGCCACAGAGCUUUUCUCCAAGUCUGAAAUAAAUGGAAAAUAUCAAUAUUAUCUAUCUCAAGACAAAGAAAACGGAUUAUUUGGCAGUGGCGGGAUAAACUUAAAAAGAAAUGA